CCUCCCUUGAAAGGAAUAGCAUUUUUUUAAAGGUGGGGUUGAAAUGAUCUCAACCUCAUUUUUGCUCUGAUUCCUUUUGAUACUACACCCCCUCUGAAGAGAAAAGGACCUUGCCAGCUUUGAAGGGUUCAGAGGAUGUUGGAUCUCCCCAUCCAUGUGCCAUAUUACCAUCCCUGUUCUAACAUUAUGCUACCAGGAUAACAAAGACCUUCAUCUUCACAUCAGUGUCCUAAAUUGGCUGUCCGGAUUGGCUGACAGCAAUGUCUGCAUCAAGCCACAAAGAGACUGGACUGAGAGGUCUACAAAAAGCCCAGUAAAUAGACUGUCCUGUGCCUAAGGGGGAUUUCCUGAGCAUCUCAUGAAUAGAAGAAACUGACUUCAAGCAACCAGAGGUCUUGAAGAAGAGCUCAAAGGACCAUUACCAGUCCACACUACUCUCUUUACCCGUGAUGACUGAGAGAUUCAGAAACUCUGCUAACCAGAAGAUCCAACUCACCCCAGCAAGAACAGAACCAUAACACCUGAGAAAAGGUGUCUAACUCUGAAUUUAUUCACUUAAUCACUCUGCGUAAUCAUUUCCUACCAGCUGCACUUCUUGAACUGAACUCCAAUAAGAUCAUGCCCCCAGGGCACCUCAUCAUCAGGAAAUUCUUCAUCCUGCAAGAUUGCAUCAGUGUUAGUAGUGGCACCUCAUUAUUACCCUCAGUACUUUCUGUCCCUCUGUUCUGAGGGCUGGAGAAUGAAGCAGAGAACUCCCAAAGCCUCCAUAAAGAAAUUUCUGUGGCCAGCCAACGUCCUUGGACUGAACUCCACUAUUUUCUAAUGCUCAGGUUACCUUUCACACAUCUCCCCCUUCCAUUACCUUUUAUGUAUUGUCGUCCCCCAGUUAUAAGCUCCUUGGGGGCAGGUGUAAGCCAAGUCCCAAAGUCCAUUGGUAUGGGAUUUAUUCCUCAUGUUGGAGAUGAACAUGUGGGAAACAGUUCUCCCUUCUGAAAGAAAGACAGUAUUUCUUUUUCUUUUUUGAAUCCCCAGUGCUUAGCAAAUGACUGGCUUAGGGUUGACUUAAUAAAUGUUUAUUGACUGACUAACUCACUAGUUGGAUUGUGAUCUGGUCUAUAAGAGAACCACGUUAAUGAGAUCGCAGACCCCUUGAUAAUUCUGUCUUUUCUACUACAGGAACAAUGCCCUACUUUGUACUCUUAUACCACUAGAAAAGUUCUCUAAACUUCCUGGAUGGUAUUUGUGUGUCCAUUUUCACAGCUGCUGCUUCAUCAAGGGUUGCUUGAACAAGGUUGAGUCUGUAAAGUUCUUCAGGAUCAUGGGAGAAUUAUCUCUGGACAUUAUCCAACUGUAAAUGCA